UACGUAGGGUGCAAGCGUUAAUCGGAAUUACUGGGCGUAAAGAGCUCGUAGGCGGUUUGUCGCGUCUGCCGUGAAAGUCCGGGGCUCAACUCCGGAUCUGCGGUGGGUACGGGCAGACUAGAGUGAUGUAGGGGAGACUGGAAUUCCUGGUGUAGCGGUGAAAUGCGCAGAUAUCAGGAGGAACACCAGUGGCGAAGGCGGCUCACUGGCUCGACACUGACGCUGAGGUGCGAAAGCGUGGGGAGCAAACAGG
rnacentral:rRNA from 1 species